UACGUAGGGUGCAGGCGUUAAUCGGAAUUACUGGGCGUAAAGCGUGCGCAGGCGGUUUCUUAAGUCAGAUGUGAAAGCCCCGGGCUUAACCUGGGAACUGCGUUUGAAACUGGGAGACUCGAGUGUGGCAGAGGGGGGUGGAAUUCCCGGUGUAGAGGUGAAAUUCGUAGAUAUCGGGAGGAACACCAGUGGCGAAGGCGGCGAUCUGGACAGAUAUUGACGCUGAGGCGCGAAAGCGUGGGGAGCAAACAGG
rnacentral:rRNA from 1 species